rnacentral:sRNA from 1 species
UAUAACCAGAAGAUGAUUUAUGCCCUGUUUGUUUGAUCAUUUGCUAAUUCAUCUAAAUGCAUCAUUUGGAUGGAGCUUUGUUAGUUUGAUCAUUUCAAUGGAUCAUUCACAUUCUCAUAUAUAUAUAAAUGACUAAAAUGCCCUCUGUUAAGUAACAAAUAAUCAAUAGCUACAUUCUCAUAUUAAUCAAAGUAGAGUCUUAAAAAGAGAGUUGUUUUAAAUAUGUUAACAACUAGUCUGUUCACAUGGCUCUGUACAGACU